CGGUGCGUUACGGUGAGGCCGACUGCCACUUUCUGAACAAAGCUGCCAGCACUGCUGCAUGUCCUGCAGAGGAAGAUGAAGCUUUGGACCUUCAGGAGGCCUCAGAGUCAUUCCCCACGCUGGUGAGAUCCAUGUCUACCUCCAGGAGGCACAGCUGGGAGAGCCCCUUGUCACCUGUGGACUGCAAGCGCAGGUUCAGUUUGGACACCACAGAGAGAGGCAGUGAUGCCGAGCAGGAGGAGGCAGAGAAAGGCAGCAGGUCCUGCGCACAGCCUCGUGUGUCCCUGCAGCUGCCCGGGGGGACGCGGGAAGCCUGGAGCAGCAGUGCGGGCAGCAUGGUGAUCAAAGUGCAGAUAGAGCCGCUGCGGCCCAGCCUGGGCUCGGAGGAGGCGGAACGUGCCAGUGAUGGGAAGAGGCUGAGGCCACUGUCCAUCCCGUCAGCCUGCAAGGCUGCCUCCCCC
rnacentral:lncRNA from 1 species